UACGGAGGGUGCAAGCGUUGUUCGGAAUUAUUGGGCGUAAAGGGCGUGUAGGCGGCUCCCCAAGUCUGGUGUGAAAGCCCACGGCUCAACCGUGGAACUGCAUUGGAAACUAACGGGCUCGAGUGUGGCAGAGGGGGGUGGAAUUCCACGUGUAGCAGUGAAAUGCGUAGAGAUGUGGAGGAACACCGGUGGCGAAGGCAGCCCCCUGGGCUAACACUGACGCUCAGGCACGAAAGCGUGGGGAGCAAACAGG
rnacentral:rRNA from 1 species